UACCACAUGUUUUAAUAAAAAAUGAUCAAAAGAGUACCAAAAAAAAAGCUAUGCGAUUGGAAGCGGAAGAGAGAUGGCUGGAAUUGCGUCGACGUUUUGCUGUGAGAAACGUUCGGCGUCAGCUCGGUUAUCUUCGAUGGUGAUUGCAGCUCUUUGUGCGUGAUUCCGGCGGAAGAUUUGUUGCAUUUGUUUUGAAGGUCAUAUCGUUUUUUGACAGCAACUCACUAUCUCCGGCUGCUUUAAUGCCGUCAGCGAUUUUUCUUCUGGUACAGGAGCAAGAGGAUAUUGAACAUGAAGCCCAUGGUUUGAUGAAUUAAGAUAUGGAGCAAAGCUGCUCAUGAUGAAGUUCAGGAUUAAGAUAGUUUGCAAUGUGAUGUAGACUUAACUGAACCUUGUAACAGAUUGGACUUGGUCUUGUAAUAAAAGUUGUAUUUUUGAUGGAUUGUAGAAUUCUUUUCUCUUUUUCUUUGUAAAAUAACAACGUGAAAUUAGGAUGCAGCUGAAUGAGAUCAUAGAACUUAAUGUAA